rnacentral:rRNA from 1 species
UACGUAGGGGGCUAGCGUUGUCCGGAAUCAUUGGGCGUAAAGAGCGUGUAGGCGGCCCGGUAAGUCCGCUGUGAAAGUCGGGGGCUCAACCCUCGAAUGCCGGUGGAUACUGUCGGGCUAGAGUGCGGAAGAGGCGAGUGGAUCUGGUGUAGCGGUGAAAUGCGCAGAUAUCAGGAGGAACACCGAUUGCGAAGGCAGCUCGCUGGGACGUAACUGACGCUGAGACGCGAAAGCGUGGGGAGCAAACAGG